UGAUGGUAGUAGUAGUAGUAGUGGUAUGGGUGGUAAUGGUAAUGAUAGCAGUUUAGUGAUGUGGUGGUGGUGGUAGUAGUAGUAGUAGUGGUAUGGGUGGUAAUGGUAAUGAUAGCAGUUUAGUGGGGGUGGUGGUAGUAGUAGUGGUAUGGGUGGUAAUGGUAAUGAUAGCAGUUUAGUGAUGGUGGUGGUAGUAGUAGUGGUAUGGGUGGUAAUGGUAAUGAUAGCAGUUUAGUGAUGGUGGUGGUAGUAGUAGUGGUAUGGGUGGUAAUGGUAAUGAUAACAGUUUAGUGAUGUGGUGGUAGUAGUAGUAGUGGUAUGGGUAGUAAUGGUAAUGAUAGCAGUUUAGUGAUGGUGGUGGUAGUAGUAGUGGUAUGGGUGGUAAUGGUAAUGAUAGCAGUUUAGUGAUGGUGGUGGUAGUAGUAGUGGUAUGGGUAGUAAUGGUAAUGAUAGCAGUUUAGUGAUGGUGGUGGUAGUAGUAGUAGUAGUAGUAG
rnacentral:lncRNA from 1 species